rnacentral:rRNA from 1 species
CCUACGGGAGGCAGCAGUGGGGAAUAUUGGGCAAUGGGCGCAAGCCUGACCCAGCAACGCCGCGUGAAGGAAGAAGGCUUUCGGGUUGUAAACUUCUUUUAAGAGGGAAGAGCAGAAGACGGUACCUCUUGAAUAAGCCACGGCUAACUACGUGCCAGCAGCCGCGGUAAUACGUAGGUGGCAAGCGUUGUCCGGAUUUACUGGGUGUAAAGGGCGUGUAGCCGGGCUGACAAGUCAGAUGUGAAAUCCGGGGGCUCAACCCCCGAACUGCAUUUGAAACUGUUGGUCUUGAGUAUCGGAGAGGCAGGCGGAAUUCCUAGUGUAGCGGUGAAAUGCGUAGAUAUUAGGAGGAACACCAGUGGCGAAGGCGGCCUGCUGGACGACAACUGACGGUGAGGCACGAAGGCCAGGGGAGCGAAAGGGAUUAGAUACCCCGGUAGUC